rnacentral:rRNA from 1 species
GACGAACGCUGGCGGCGUGCUUAACACAUGCAAGUCGAGCGGUAAGGCCCUUCGGGGGUACACGAGCGGCGAACGGGUGAGUAACACGUGAGCAACCUACCCGCCACAUCGGGAUAACCUCGGGAAACCGAGGCUAAUACCGAAUACGACCAGCUGCGGCAUCGCAUGCUGGUGGAAAGCUCCGGCGGUGGCGGAUGGGCUCGCGGCCUAUCAGCUAGUUGGUGGGGUAAUGGCCUACCAAGGCGUCGACGGGUAGCCGGCCUGAGAGGGUGUACGGCCACAUUGGGACUGAGAUACGGCCCAG